ensembl:lncRNA
GAGAAACAUACACGAGUCUGAGAUACUGAACAAAUCGAUACAGUUUGACGCGAGUCGUUAUAAAAUGUUAGCGCUGGGUAUAAUGUAAACCUGAGGACAGGGAUUAGCUGGUCUCAAGAAGCGGUCAAACAAUCUACAGACAAUAAACUCUACUGUAUUUUCAAAAGCGUAUUUCCUCUCAGACUAACACUGAAAAUUCGCAGUGUUUUCUGGCCAUUUUUUCUAACGAGAGCAUUUUGUUCCGAUUUUUUUCUAACAACAGAUUAGCGUCUUUUUUUUUUCUUUUUUUUUUCCUUUUGCUAAUCUGAUUGCGUUUACGUCAUAGCUCAUGCUUGAGCGUGAUUUGGAGUUGGUUCCAUCCGCCAGAUUUCUAGCUUUCACUAGAGAGGCUGGUUCUUCUCAUCACUAAACAUCACCCUGAACCACCUACAUUCACUGGAACACACCAUCUUUUCCUGUAGCUUGUUUACAUACUCGUGAAGGAACGUCUUUCCUCACCGCUAAUUUAUUUGGACUAACUUUCAAAGACGGGAUGUUGUGAACGUUUUCAUUCUGUUGACCACACUGUGCUCUGAAAAGGCCAGUGUUCAAAUUGGCUUUCUCUUUUAAAAAGGUACGUGUACACAGAAAUGCGCACGGCCAGUCAGAUGACACGUUUAAGAUUCCCGAAACUUGUGGCCUGCUAAGGAUACAAAAUGUACUAGAUGGGCUUCUGAGGAUACAGUUGAGGUCAUAAGUUUACGUACGCCUUGAAGAAUCUGCAAAAUGUUAAUCAUUAAACAAAUAAAUGAGAGAUUAUAACAAUGCAUGUUUUUUUUUUUUUUUAAAUGAUUGAGUCCUGCCCUGAAUAAGCUAUUCCACAUUACAGAUGUUUCCAUGUAGCCCACAAGACACAAUAAUAACUGAAUUUACACACAUGAACCCGUUCAAAAGUUUACACACGCUCGAUUAUUUAUACUGUGUGUCGUUACCUGGAUGAUCCACGACUGUGUUUACGUUCUGUACGAGUUCUUCAUGAGUUUCUUGUUUGUCCUGAGAAGUUAAACCACCCACUGUUCUUCAGAAAAAUCCUCAGGAUUCUGCAUGCAUCUUCUGCAUAAUUGAUUCCUUUCCAACAGCAACUAUAUGAUGUUGAGAUGCAGACAUGUGGGAAAGAGUCUAUAUCUAAAGGCCAUGACUUUAAAUGACAGGCCAGGAGACAUUACAGAGAGAGCGAGAGGGGGAACCGUUGUGCGUCAAGACAAUAAAAGCUGUGAUGCAGGUGAGUAAUUGCAGGAAGUCUGACAGACUCUGUCAUUAGAACACACACACACACAUACACAUACACACACACGCACGCACACACACACCUACACAGCUUGAACCACGUCUUUUUUCAUGCAUGAUCCACACAAACCCAUUUCACUAAUUAUAGAUAAUUGUUUCACUAAUUAUAAGGCUUUGUUCAAAUGGACAAACUCGUCCUCGUCUCUUUUCUCCAUUUUCAUGCUUCAUGUGAACUUCACGGGUGAAUAAUUAUGUGAGUCUCUUGGGAAAUUUACACAUGUGGCCUUAAGACAUGUUAUGUUUCUGUCAUUUUUCACAUGUAGUGCAUGAAGUUGAUUUGCUCACAUGAUUGUUUGUUUUCAGCAUAUGAUCACAUAUUGUUAAAUAGGUUUAGAUUUAAAUACACCCCAAGAGGUAUUUAAAUAUGCUCCAACAGGUAUUUAAAUACACCCCAACAGGUAUUUAACUACACCCCGACAGGUAUUUAACUACACCCCGACAGGUAUUUAAAUACGCCCCGACAGGUAUUUAAAUACGCCCCAACAGGUAUUUAAAUACGCCCCAACAGGUAUUUAAAUACAUCCCGACAGGUAUUUAAAUACGCCCCAACAGUAUUUAAAUACACCCCAACAGGUAUUUAACUACACCCCAACAGUAGUUAACUACACCCCAACAGGUAUUUAACUACACCCCAACAGGUAUUUAACUACACCCCAACAGUAUUUAAAUACGCCCCAACAGGUAUUUAAAUACACCCCAACAGGUAUUUAAAUACACCCCGACAGGUAUUUAAAUACACCCCAACAGGUAUUUAAAUACACCCCAACAGGUAUUUAAAUACACCCCAACAG